rnacentral:rRNA from 1 species
UGCCAGCAGCCGCGGUAAUACGGAGGGUGCGACCGUUAAUCGGAAUUACUGGGCGUAAAGCGCGCGUAGGCGGUUUGGUCAGUCGGGUGUGAAAGCCCCAGGCUCAACCUGGGAAUGGCAUUCGAUACUGCCUGACUAGAGUAUGGUAGAGGGAAGUGGAAUUUCCGGUGUAGCGGUGAAAUGCGUAGAUAUCGGAAGGAACACCAGUGGCGAAGGCGACUCCCUGGGCCAAUACUGACGCUGAGGUGCGAAAGCGUGGGGAGCAAACAGGAUUAGAUA